ACUUCUAACAAAAAGGUUUUGUUUAGUUUCGUUUCUUGUGAUGGCUUCAUCGAAGAGUGUGGGAUCUGCCCCAUAUAUGCCUCUGAAUAUCAGAAUUUCAUUCAACAAAGGAAAAUGAAGUGUGAGUUGGGCAAGAGGUCAAAGCGGCAUCGAGAUAUUGAUGAAAUGGAGAUGGAAAUCUGUAAAUUUGGAACCGGAGUUGGAAACUCUGAUGGGGAAGAAACAGUGUCUUCAUGCAAGAAAUUGAAAAUGGAGUUGUGUGCUCAGCCUAAUGGACAAGAAGAUAUUGAAGAAUUGGAAGCUUUGCUCAUGAGAAUCAAAAUCAGCUAGAACCAUUUCUUAAACAACACUAACAGAUCAUUAAUGGAAUUCCAUCUCCUUGCUUGGGCCUUUUUCUGCGGCGGAGGAUAUCUUGAUGAGGGCUGAUGACACACUGCAAGAACUGCUUCAUGGCUAAUCUUAAUUAUACUUGUAACGAAGCUUGAAGCUAUCAUGUACAAUAGUAUUUUAUGAUGCCCAUGUGGUGUGUAUAAUUGUUGAAAAUUUAAGGGAAAACAUAUAUGGGAGUGCUUAUAGUUUCACUGGAUUUUGAAUUAGGUAAUUAUAGUUUUUCUUUUUAUUAGAUCCUUAGAGUUUUUUAACGCUAAUUACUAGUCCUGCUCAUAUUCUGCCUGCUAUUCUAAAAGGGGUUUGUUUAUUUGGCGGGUGACUGUCACAUGGUCAAGCAGAUUUUCUUCUUCUUG